rfam:Mus musculus chromosome 14, GRC primary reference assembly.
CUACAGGUUAUAUUUAUAACCACACAUAUACACAAAUGCAUAUAUG